rnacentral:lncRNA from 1 species
GUGAGUAGCCAUUUUUACCCUUUUUUCCAUUUUUUCUCUUAUCCAAUGGGUGUAUUUAGCCCGAACCCAAAAGUUGAAAUUAGAAAACCAUCCAGUGGCUGUACCCAAAUUCAUGGAAUGAGGAGUUUUCAUAAAAAACCGAAACUAUGGCUUUCCUGCUGAAAAGCAUGUCAUCUGUGUCUCAAUAGCUAUUGCAAGAAAGCAUGGGGUUAUCUUG